rnacentral:lncRNA from 1 species
UCGGCUGAUAUUGAAGCCCAGAGAGCAUUUGGAGCAGUCCGAUUGAUGACUGAAGGAGCUCAUUAUUGGAGAAGUCCAGAGGGUACGGUAGGAGUUCGUCCGUUGGAGAAAUCUGGAGGACACUGUGGAAGGUCGACUGCUGGAGGAGUUCAGAUGGUACUGUGAAAGCUCGGAUGGUCGGGGGAGUUCAGAAAGACACUGCACAAGG